UCUCAUUGCUCUCUAGUCCUUUGUCUCCAUCCCUCUUUCUCUUAAGAAAAAAAUGGCUGAGCUUGUUAGGCUGGAAAUCAAACGUCCCCACCAGCUGAACACAUCAGAAGGGACCUUUGCUUUCACAUCUGGCUCUUUUUAUCCUAUAACACAGGCUUCCUACAGAGAGGAAGGGCCAGGAGGGGAGCCGGUGGGUGUGGGUGAUAAAAAUCAAUGCAAGCCCUGUCGUUAUCUGGCCUGGUAAGGGGACUGGAGGGGUGACUAGGGCAACGACAGGGACACGAGGGUGCUCUGAUGAGGGUCAGGCAGGGCCCUCCCAACAGGCACCACCGCGCAGGAGGCGAACCUUCUGUUAAAAGCCAGGUGUCCGGAGAUGGGGGCGGGAAUGGAGUCUGCCGACGACGGGGGAUGCUUUCCUGUGGUCAGGAAGGGGCGCCAAGCCUCUGGGGCGUGAAGGAUGGGCAUAGACCCAAACUAGACUCGUGCCGUUUCACCCGGUUCUCCAGCAGCCCCCAGAGGGUGUCGCCCCUCUGAUAACUAACUUAGGAGGUUCCCCACAGUCAUGCAGGCCAGCACUGGCUACACCGUGCUGAAAAGAGCUAGGCUGCCCUGCCCUGCUCUCUCUGGUGUCUUCCAGAGUCGGGGAAGUCGGCUUGUGAGUCGGAGAUAAGAUGACCAUAGUCUGUGAGGGUGCAGCCUGGUCAGACCCAGAAUGGGAACCCUAUGGGGAGGGGAGCAGGGGGCGUGGGCCCAUUGAAGGACCCCACCUCCCCAGCGGGCCUUUCCCGUGCUGUGUGCACAAGGAGGGAGACAAGGCAGAGUGCUGGUGAACCUGGGUCUCCCCUCCCCUGCCAGACACUCCCUCUGCACUCCCGCCUCUGCAUGCUGCCUGCGGGUGGCAAGGGAAGAGGCCAAGACACGGGCAUCUUCCGAGCUUUCCCGAGUGCGCAUGCCAGGUGAGCCCCAUGAACUCUCUGCUACGUAACAGAACAACCCAUCCCCACUCACAGGCUCUCAGAGGCAACUGCCGAGGAUCAUGUAGCUCAGAAGUCUCGGAGCAGCCUGGUCCCUUUCACAGAGCCCCCAGGAGCUAACUCAUUAGUUCUCUCCCUUCCCGCCCGCCCUCUCUCACCUCUCUUCCUCAUGCCCCCCUUCCAGGGUGAGAGGGUUCAUCACCCACCCACUCACCCACUCAGCUCUAAGAAUGACUGGGAGCAGCUAAGAGUGAGUCAGAGCUCUGCUGGGCACUGCUGCGGAGGGAGGCAACAGAUGGCAGCGGGGGGCCAUAUUGCUGCCCAAGCCACCCCCUCAGCACCCCACAGCCCCCAGAGGUGGCAUUUGUGAUGUUAGCAGCGGGUCCGUUUCGGGGCCCCUCUGCCAGUCUCAGGCUUGCGGACAGCAUCAGGCUCAGGCAGCAAGCUGUGAAUGGGGAAGGUGGGGCAGUCUGAGCACGGGGUAAACCAGGAGUUCAGGUCUUCGGGACAAAUGCUGACCUCCCAGUCUUCCAGCAGGCAGCGGCCAGCAGGGCGCCCCACCCCAUGACCUCUGCCCCUGUCACUUCUCUAAUUCCCACUGCCCACCUGAAAGCUCUGAAAACCUUGGGAAUUGGAGAUCCGGGUCUGGCAUGGACCUGUGCCCCCUGGCUGUUUUCAUUCCAUCUGUAUGGAGAGUUUGGACCACCGUCCAGCUCAGAGGUAGGCAGAGGCCUGCUCCAAGUGGGGGAGCCUCAUCCAGGAGCACUGUCGCUACUCAUCUGAGGAUGAUAGAUAACAUGUCUCUAAGAGACUUUCAGAGUGGGCACAGAGCAGGCCAGGGUGACAAAUGGAAUCCCCAGCUCCUGAACUCAAGGGAAACCUCCCCACUGUCCAUCAUGCUCAGGGAGUCAGGUCAGGUCCCUCUGGGGUUAGGGCUGGGGGGAGGAGAGGUACUAGCUGACCUGCCACAGUGGUUGCCAUGGGAACCACUUCCCAGUUCUUGCUCCAUGUGACUGGCUAUUGUGAUGAGCCAGGCCUGAGUGAGAACCGAGAAGGGGCUGAGGCGGUCUUUUGCCCUAAGAAAGAUGAUACCCAGGAAAGAGAUGGGAAAAGACAUUUUCAGACUCUGCAUCCUGGCUGCCUUGCAAAUUCAAGGUCAGGGAGGGUCGGUCCCGCCCUAGCACUGAGAACUCAGCACUCCACUUAGGAUGGAAUUGGGAGGGUCCUGUGGAGAAUGUGACUUUAAACGUGUCAGUCAGAAGAGGGAGGUCAGGGAAGGGGUGCUGGCACUAUGGGAGACAGAAGCAAAGGGCAAGGAUGGGGUUGCCUGUGGCUACAUGAAAGGAGCAUUCAAAAGUGGCUUCUCUGAGGGGCGUUCGUUUGCUUGGCGGUGUCUUGUUCUCAGGUCAAGGAGACCCACACACUCUGAAGACCAUCCAAGUCUCAUGACUGUCUUCUUAUUGGUCAGCACCGAGUCAGCCAGAGAUAAGGCCGUGUCCUUCCUGGGACCCUUUCCUCUCUGUUCUCUUUAAAGAGUUAAGUCUCCCAGGCCUUGAUCUUCAGGUCGGAAGCUAGGAUGAAAUCUGUCUACAGUGGCCCCGCCCGCCAUGAGCAUCUGCAGGACCACACAAUUGCGACUGGGAUGUUGUAAUCUGAUGAGAAAUAGGAAUUGUGUCUUUGGCUCCUGAGACUGUUGCCAUUUCCCGUGCAGCUUCAGAGCUGGGGGCAUCUUUUGUCCUGGUGGUGGCUUUCCACUUCCAGCUCUGCACACGGGAUUCUGAUCCCCUCCCCCGAGUUCCCUGGAUAAUGGAAGUUAAGAAGUGACUCGUGGUGGGCUCCUGUACAGCUUCAGUAGAAGCUGGUUACCAGCAGGACCGAGCCAUGUUUGGAAGCUUGGGACUUUUCCAGAAAAGGGAGUAGCCAGACAUGAAGUUAGCGGUCCCUCUUGCCCGUGUGGAACAGCUUCUAGACAGAUUCUUGGGCAGCAGGGCUUGAAAGCUCCUGGACUGAUGAAUACAUAGAGGGCCUAGAAAGGGGGUACAUGGGGGGGUUCAUGCCCUUCUUCGCCAUGCCCUGAGUAUCCUUUCCAUCAGCUUCUUCAUCUACAACUUUUCAAAUGUGUGCACUAUACCAGUGGGCACAGGGGCAAUGAUUCCCCUGGGAGCAAUCUAACAAAUGAAUUCAACUCGAGGUGAGUCCUUUGAUGACCUCAAGUAAAGCCACUGGGCCAGGAGCACAGGGAAGGGCCAGGGGCUUCCUGGGGGGGGGCACCUGAGUCUGGGGGAGGCAGCCUUGGGAGGCUGAGCCCUUAACUUUCAAGAGCAAGCCCUUUCUUUAGAGAGAUGUGUCAGAAAUGGACUGGGUUAAAGACACACCCUUGGUGGUGUGGUUGGAAUACAACUGGCAGUCAUUGACUUGAGUGCUAAAUGUUUGGUCCCAUCUGGUAGUGCUGUUUGGAGAAGUUGUGGAAACUUCAGGAGGUAAGACCUGCCCAGAGGAAUGAGCUUUCCUCCCUCUCUUCUGUUUGUCCACUGUGAGGUGAGAACCCUCUCUCUACAUGCUCCUCCUACCACGACGACCUGGCCAAGUGAACAGAGCCAAGCAGCCACUGUGGACUAUGAGCCUGGAACUUUGAGCCAAGAUGGAUCUCUUCGUAUGUUGUUUCUGUCCAGGAUUUGCUCUCAAAGAUGCAAAAGUGAUAAAGUUGGCGUCUCUUGGAGUCCUGGCUGUUACUGCGAAGAAGGAUCUACGGUUAGCUCUGCCAGUGAAGAGCAAAAGCUAUUGGUCUUUCUGUCUCUUACAACAGUCAUUGCAGAGAUGAAGACAUGCCGGAGUACAAGUGGCUGGGUACCUGAGGGUGCUUUGUACAACCGGACCAGGGUGUGAAAGCAAAUCCCCUAGAACAGCCCAAGGUGGCAGAGUGGCAUUGGACCCUCAGUGUGAUGUUUAGUGUUCAUUGUCAAUGUGACAGGACCUAAAACCACCUGGGACCUGGGCCUCUGGGCACGCCUGUGGCAGGUUGUCUCGACUAUGUUGACUGACGUGGGAGUCCCAUCUUAACCGUGGGCAGGUCCUGGCUGGGGACCUGGACUGUAGGAUGGGGAAAGGCAGCCUGUGUUUAUCUCGCUCCUCCCUGGGCGGAUAGGAUGGGACUGGCUUUCAAGCUCCUGCUGCCUCGAUUUCCCUGUCUUGAUGGACUGUACCCUGAACUACGAUCUAAAAGAAAUGAUUUCUCCCUUAAUGCUUUUGCCGGGGUGUUUAAUGACAGCAGCAAGAAAAGACACAAAGACACUGGGUGUCUGGGGUCACAAAGCACCUAAGGGCUGCAGGCCCGGAAGUCUGAAAUUUCAAGAGAAGCUAAGCAUCUUGACUUUGGACGUGACACUGGUUUUCUGAGACAGGGUCUGUUUCCAAGCCUGGCUCAAAUGCACUCUAUAUUCAGGAUAGCCUUUAAUGUCUGAUCUUCCUGCCUUCCCCUCCUAAGAGCUGGGACCAUAGGUGUGUGCCAUCGUACCCACUUUAUGCAGUGUUGGGGGUGGAACCCAGGGCUUACGCAUGUCAAGCAAGUUUUCUCCCACAUGUGCAGCCUGUGUGUGAGACACGCCCUUGGUUUCUGCCUCUAAUGCCGGUGAGCUUAAUGAAAGUCUGAGGUUUCUGGCCCACAGGCCUCCUGUUUACACAACCUAUAAUAUAAAUUAAAUGAGCCUGUAAUAUAAUAUAAAUGAAAAGUUCUCAGACUGCCCUGGAGCCAUGGAUGCUUUGAAAAUGCAAUGAAGGCAUCCACGAAGUGUGAGAAGAUAUUCGCAAUUCAUAGAAUUGUGGACAAUUGAUUUCUAGAACAUACUUUUGAGAAACAACAACAAAAACACAAUAUGAAUCAACAAACUUUAAAAACCACCCAACAACUUGGCAGAAUAGCAAGUAGUUGACUUGUCCCUCUACAGAAAGGAGGCCCCCUAGGCCAAGAAACAGACAAAGGGCUCUGUCUCACUAGUCACAGAAAACAGGCAGAGUGACGAUGCCAUUGCUGAUCCUCAUCACAUCACAGUGGCCAAAAGGAAGACCCCUAACCAGAGUGACGCAGCUGAGAGGAUGUGGGCACUCCCCAGUUCUCGUGCUGUCCUGGGGUUCUGCACAUAGGUAAGAACAUUCUGGGGAAAAAUGGUUUGAUUGUUAAUAGUAUCUUUACUAUUUAAGCCUUAAGGGAUAACGAGUUGGCAUGGAGGCACUAAAACUUUGUUGUUUACGUUUAUCUGGUAAAACUGGGUGUGCACGUGCCCUGUGAUCUCAGGACCCAGGCUGGAUGUGCAUGUGUUCUAUGAUCUCAGGACGCAGGCUGGAUGUGCAUGUGCCCUGUGAUCUCAGGACCCAGGCUGGAUGUGUAUGUGCCCUGUGAUCUGAGGUCCCAGGCUGAAUGUGCAUGUGUCCUAUGAUCUCAGGACCCAGGCUGGAUGUGCAUGUGUCCUAUGAUCUCAGGACCCAGGCUGGAUGUGCAUGUGCCCUGUGAUCUCAGGACCCAGGCUGGAUGUGCAUGUGCCCUGUGAUCUCAGGACCCAGGCUGGAUGAGCAUGUGCUCUGUGAUCGCAGGUCCCACACUCAGUCAUCUUCCUUAGAGAACUCUUGUUCGGACAGCCAAGCAGUGUGAAUGCACAGAGGCCAGGCGCUAUGGCUGUAUAAACUUUAUACGUAUAGUUAUAGUUAUAUAUAGCCUCAUGAUGGAAGGCUUGUGAGCCAAGAAAAAGAAGAGCCCCAGGCUCCGCUGUCUCCCCCGAAGGAGCUGUGUUUGGAGUGCAAAGCCACGGGGUGGGGAGAGGGCAGGGUGGUUCAGAAGCAAGUGAGACUGAGCAGUGUGUUGUUUUGGAAGAGAUUGAUAGGUGGGAGAAUCAUCUAGAAAGCAAUAAAGGAGCUAGAAGGGUUGGCUCAGCUGCUAAAGGCACUUGCUCUUCCAGGAGACCAGAGUUAAGUUCCCAGCACCAUGUUGGGAGGCUCACUAUAGCCUGUAACUCCAGCUCUAGGGACUCCUGUGUUCUUCUGGUCUCCAUGGGCACCCACAUGCUCGUGACCUUUAAGGCAUAUCUUUCACUCCUCAGCUGUUAGCCACCCACCUUGUCUUUUGAGACGCUGGCCUGUAAAUUACCAACUCAGCUUGACUGUCUAGCCAGAAAGCCUUAUGGAUCUCCCACCUCCAUCUCCCAGCACUGGAUUGCAUGCCACCACAUCCAGCUUUUUAAUGUAUGCUCUGUGGAUGGAACUCAGGUCUUCAUGCAUGCCAGGUAAAUAUUUCAUAGAUGAGCCAAUCCUCCAUUCCAUUUCAUUAUUCUUUACACAACCCACAGGCCUUAGGUAUGAGCCUCUGUCUGUAUUUACAACAAAGGAAACACAAAACAAUCUAAUCCCAGGCUGGAGAGAUGGCUCUGAGGGGAAGAGCACUGGCUGCUCUUCCAGACAACCUAGUAGUUUAAUAGUGGCUGACCUUUUCUAACUCCGUCUCCAGUUCCAGGGGAUCUGAAGCCCUCUUCUGGCCUCUUUGGGUACUUCAUGCAUGUGCAGACAAAACAUCUACACACAAGAUUAAAAAAAAGAAAAAUAAAAU